UUAGCUUCUUAGCUAGCUGUAAAAAACCAUGUUAUUAGCAUAUUUAGCUAGCUCAAACCAGCUAUUCUGCAACAGCCACGCACGAUGGAUAUCAGAAAUUGGUUUCACCAAAGUAUCCAAACAAAGCGAAAGGAGAAGGGGAAACCUGGCUACUGUGUCAGUGGUUGUUAGAAGUUCCACUCUGACAUCAAAGUCAGACUCGAAGGUACAGGGCUGCUGAAGGCAGUGAGGCCACCAGGACAGAGGACAAGAGACUGUAAAAGACUGUUCUUCAGCCCGUUGGAUGCUGUCAUUGGUGAAGUAUGAAAUAUUCUGCUAACAUAAAAGCCAACUGGUGGAGGGCCUGCGUGCCCUUGACCGAGAGAGCCAUACCUUUCUAGAUGUGAAAACAUUAAACCACUGCUGGAUCUACGCAAAUCAAAUUUGGUAGAAGCUGAGUUUAGUGUUGCUCACUAGUUUUUGCAGUUUGAAAUUUCCGGCUCUGGCUCCAAUGAGGACAAAUGGACCCCACUUGAUAUCCUGCAACUAUUCUCUGGGCUUUUCUCCGCUAUGCCGACUGUGCUUACCACACUGAAACAUGUAUUGACUUUUGGUGCGUCCACAGCUACAUCCAAGAACUCGUUUUUCACUUUGACAAACGUAUUCAGUCAGCACAGAAGGAGUAUGCUACACCUGAGGAAAGCUCAACUAAUACAAUUGGCAUUUGAGGGGGAUCUUAAAAAGAACAAUGGAAUGAUUGAUUACUCGGGAAGUUCUACAGAGCUUCAAGGAGGCUGCAACUCUUCUGUAAAGAGAGUGUACUUUUCCUGUAGGAUACCUGGCUCUACCUGCCAUUCAGGUACAUACAACCC
ensembl:lncRNA